rnacentral:rRNA from 1 species
UAACGACUCUCGGCAACGGAUAUCUCGGCUCUCGCAUCGAUGAAGAACGUAGCGAACUGCGAUACUUGGUGUGAAUUGCAGAAUCCCGUGAACCAUCGAGUCUUUGAACGCAAGUUGCGCCCGAAGCCAUUCGGUCGAGGGCACGUUUGCCUGGGUGUCACA